CCACCAGCACCCCUCCCCCAGACGAUCAGUGUCUAGGGAACUUAAAACUGUCAUAUCCCAUGGCCAGAAAGCUAGACUCCUAGGCCUGUACCCUGAAGAAAUUUUCAGACACUGUUCAAGAUGAGGAGGUGCUAACGUCUAUUGAAGCCUCAUAAAGCGGAGUGACCUCCGUGAGAUGGGCCCAACAGGAAACAGUUCCAUCUUCCAGAGUGGAUACUCAUUUGCUUGUCCAGCCAGGAGUCUGGGAGAAGCCAGCAGGCAAUGCAGUCAUUUGGUAAUGUCCUUCCCUCUGCCAAGGCGGAUUAAUGCUGGGAGAUUUUACAACUGGGCGACGUCAUCUCUGCUAGAGACACCUCAGCCAGGUCUUUGAUGCCUCCCCAGGACGGUCACACCCAGGCCCACAAGACCACAGCCUGGUCUACCCACAGUGCCCUUGUUUGCUUCUGCUGACUGGUCACAUACAAAAUUCUUUCCCGUCGUAAUUGUAAAAUUAGAACAUGGGGCCUUUUAAAGGUGAACUAUCAGGAGUUAUCUCAGGAGUAGAGCCUGCCUGAGGGGGCAAAGCCCUGGGUUUGGGCUGAGGUGUCUCAAAGAAAACAGUUUCAAAGGGGGAACCUUACAUAAUCAUUCAAAGCCCUUUUCUACAAAGUAACAAUCUGUCAACUUCGAUAUAUUCCUUUCCAGUCUCUCUUCUUUCCCUCUGCAACAAAUUUUUAGGUUUUUAAUAUUGCUCAGCU